rnacentral:lncRNA from 1 species
GUGAAUUAGCAAUUGUAUGGUUAUGUGUUCUGAAAGUAAAUCAUAACAAAAUCAUACCUUAAAGUAUUGAUGGACGAAUCUUAAAGGAAGAAACCUAUAUAGGUGCAAUGUACAUACCUAAAAGAGAAGACGAUGAAGAAAACCAAAGAACAACUAGCACUGUCGCACGAAUCUCUUAAAGCAAGGCAACAUGGAAAACCAAGGUUUGUUUAUGAUGGCGAAGGUAAGAGGUGAAAAAAUGAAUAGUU